rnacentral:rRNA from 1 species
AACGAACGCUGGCGGCAUGCCUAACACAUGCAAGUCGAACGAAGGCUUCGGCCUUUGUGGCGCCCGGGUGCGUAACGCGUGGGAAUCUGCCCUUUGGUUCGGAAUAACAGCUGGAAACGGCUGCUAAUACCGGAUGGUUACGAAAGUCCAAAGAUUUAUCGCCAGAGGAUGAGCCCGCGUUGGAUUAGGUAGUUGGUGGGGUAAAGGCCUACCAAGCCGACGAUCCAUAGCUGGUCUGAGAGGAUGAUCAGCCACACUGGGACUGAGACACGGCCCAGACUCCUACGGGAGGCAGCAGUGGGGAAUAUUGGACAAUGGGCGCAAGCCUGAUCCAGCAAUGCCGCGUGAGUGAUGAAGGCCCUAGGGUUGUAAAGCUCUUUUACCCGGGAAGAUAAUGACUGUACCGGGAGAAUAAGCCCCGGCUAACUCCGUG